GGGCCUAUAGCUCAGCUGGGAGAGCGCCUGCUUUGCACGCAGGAGGUCUGCGGUUCGAUCCCGCAUAGCUCCACCA
rnacentral:tRNA from 1 species